rnacentral:rRNA from 1 species
GUGUCAGCCGCCGCGGUAAUACGGAGGGUGCAAGCGUUAUCCGGAUUCACUGGGUUUAAAGGGUGCGUAGGCGGGUUGGUAAGUCCGUGGUGAAAUCCCCAAGCUUAACUUGGGAACUGCCGUGGAUACUAUCAAUCUUGAAUAUCGUGGAGGUAAGCGGAAUAUGUCAUGUAGCGGUGAAAUGCUUAGAUAUGACAUAGAACACCAAUUGCGUAGGCAGCUUACUACACGAUCAUUGACGCUGAGGCACGAAAGCGUGGGGAGCAAACAGGAUUAGAAACCCCCGUAGUCC